UACCAGCACCCCGAGUGGUCGGGACGUUUAUUGGGCCUAAAGCAUCCGUAGCCGGUUCUACAAGUCUUCCGUUAAAUCCACCUGCUCAACAGAUGGGCUGCGGAGGAUACUAUAGAGCUAGGAGGCGGGAGAGGCAAGCGGUACUCGAUGGGUAGGGGUAAAAUCCGUUGAUCCAUUGAAGACCACCAGUGGCGAAGGCGGCUUGCCAGAACGCGCUCGACGGUGAGGGAUGAAAGCUGGGGGAGCAAACCGG
rnacentral:rRNA from 1 species